AUGAACAGUUCAAAGAAUCACUUUAGAGUAGACGUCCCACCUCUGAGCUCUUCUAAAGAGCCACAGAAUCUCCACCCUUGCUGAUGACUGCUAUGUCCUCGAUGCCCUAAAGUGAAGCCGUGUACUUCCGCCUCGACCGUGCAUUACGCCGGCUUUGACACAUCUUGUUCUUCGGAGCGAGUUUGGGUCUGGCUGUUGUGGUUUUGUCUUUGGUCCAGGGAGUGGUGAUGAUCUUUACCUAGUCUCGAUGUCUUGACUUCGGUCGGUCGGUCUUGGUGGGCGUCGAGGAGGUCUGAAAGGU
rnacentral:snoRNA from 1 species